UACGAAGGUCCCGAGCGUUGUCCGGAUUUAUUGGGCUUAAAGGGCGCGUAGGCGGGUUAUUAAGUCAGUGGUGAAAGCUCUCGGCUCAACCGGGAAAUUGCCAUUGAUACUGAUGAUCUUGAGUAUGAUUGAGGUGGGCGGAAUGUGUCAUGUAGCGGUGAAAUGCUUAGAUAUGACACAGAACACCGAUUGCGAAGGCAGCUCACUAAGCCAUAACUGACGCUGAUGCACGAAAGCGUGGGGAGCAAACAGG
rnacentral:rRNA from 1 species